rnacentral:lncRNA from 1 species
CAAAAAACUUCCACAUUUGCUCACUUAAUUGUCAAGGUUUAGCGAGAAAGGAAAAGCGCUUUAGAUUAUUCUCUUGGUUUCAACAGCAGAAAUGCGACAUUUUAAUGGCACAAGAAACUCACUUGUCAAAAGAUAUGAUAAAGCAAAUUAACAAUGAAUUCCAUGGCAAACAUCUUCACAGCCUAGGCACAACAAAUUCAAGGGGAGUUUCUUACUUUAUUAAUAAAUCACUAGACUUUAAAUUAAUUAAUGAAUUUUGUGAUAAAGAAGGG